AACCAGCCCUUGAAAGCUACUCAAUGUGGUGUUUCCCCUUUCCUGCCCUCGAUUCCUGAAAGACAGUUGGUAAUAGUUCUGGGAUUUCUUUGGCUAGUUUGGAAAUAACUCCGCUCUGUGCUGUGAUUUCUUCCAUAUUAGGAUGAUACAAAAUAAAGAUUCAAAAUGAAAUACAU